GCCCCCAUAGCUCAGUUGGUAGAGCAUUCGUCUAGACAACAAAAGGCCACCCCAGUUCAAACCUAAGUGGGGGCA
rnacentral:tRNA from 1 species